UAUGUCAUAAUAUUGAUACACUUUUCACAACGGACAUGACGUCUACAAACUUGAUAAUCGGAGUAUAUGCAAGUACCACCCACUCUUUAACAACGAAGUACCAUCAUAAACAAACACCAACAAUUCAUACUCACCACUAACCUAUCAUCCAGAUCUCAGAUUCAGAGAGUAACAUAUGGUUUAUAAACUAGCGUGGCUCUUACACAAUUAUAACUAUGUGGUUUAGUGUGUUGCAAAUAAUAUUAUUCAUGUUUUUUUUUUAUUUUUCAUUUUCUAUCAUGAAAGGUUAUAAAAUAAUGAAAUUUGGGUAAAAAAAAAUAAAUAAAUAUAAACGAAUUAUUAUGAUUUAAAGUUUUAUGUUACCUCCUUACUAAACGUGCUAAAGGGGUAUACUAAUGCAUUUUUAUACUUAAGAGACAUUUAGUAAUUAUUAAAAUUUUAGAAAGUCCUUUUACAACUCUAUAAGCAUAAAAACAUUUGAUUGAUGCAAGGAUAACACAUGAGCUUUAUAAAUUGAAAACUGAUAAAGUCAAAUUCUAUUUGAUCAUUUAAAGGUUGGAAAAUAUGGCUAAAAUUGUCAAGUUUACUGUUUUUAUGAUUAUUCUUCUUUCCCUAUUUCUUGUUGCAACAAACCUUGAUGUGGGUGGUAUAUGUGUUCGUGAUAAGGAUUGUCCAAACCGUCUUUGCCCAUAUCCUCAUCAUAUGAGGUGUCGUAAAAGUAUUUGUAUAUGUCGUUAAUUAUCAAGCUUUUAUGUAGUUAUUGUGAUGAACUUAAUAAAAUUUUCUUUUAGUUUUUAAAAUUUCACGAAUCUUGUUAGUUUUGUACUUUAAGACGAUGCAAUUGAAAUGAAAGUAUCAAAGAAUAUUAUCUACAUUUUAUCUUGAUAUUAAUUAUCCAAGUGCUAAUUAUGGGAAGAAGUAGUAAGGAUAUUAUUUUAUACUAAUUAAUAAACAAUCACUACACAUAAAAUAUUAUAAUUUAUAUUAA